rnacentral:tRNA from 1 species
GAUAAGGUGGCUGAGCUCUAUAAGCGAAAGACUGUAAAUCUUUUAACAAGGUAUAUCCCUUUCUUAUCA